rnacentral:rRNA from 1 species
GAUCCUGGCUCAGAUUGAACGCUGGCGGCAGGCCUAACACAUGCAAGUCGAGCGGAUGACGGGAGCUUGCUCCCUGAUUUAGCGGCGGACGGGUGAGUAAUGCCUAGGAAUCUGCCUGGUAGUGGGGGAUAACGUUCCGAAAGGAACGCUAAUACCGCAUACGUCCUACGGGAGAAAGCAGGGGACCUUCGGGCCUUGCGCUAUCAGAUGAGCCUAGGUCGGAUUAGCUAGUUGGUGAGGUAA